GUUAAUCGCAUCUAACGUCACGUCUUGUUGCCUCGGCUCGCCUGGCGCGUUUGGCCGGACCAAUUUGGAGAUACCCUGGUGUCAAGGUUACCGGGUCUGGUUAGCUCUGUCAGUGCCCCGCCCCUUGAAGGGUAAUAGUGGACAAGAAUGGAGUAGCUGCCUGCGCUGGUGGUCCGUGGUGCUGAGGGCAGGACUAGAGACCAAGUAAGGAUCUGUCUCCGGACAGCUGCGGAAGCUUGUGGACCUCGGAGCGCUUCUGUGAGGCGGACACCUUGGGCUGUCUAGAGAUGCAAAACUGAACUCACCCAAACAAGCUAUCUUUGGAAUGAUGUCCCAUAAAACCCAGCACAUUAGCUUCUGCAGAGAAAUGGCAGACCUACCUACCAGCUUGAGCAAAAUGUGAAGGAGAUCCAGGAACCACCUGUGUGGAUACUUUUUUCUUAUUUCUAUAUACCUCUUGUAAAUGAGUUUGUCUAGAAGUAAACAC